rnacentral:lncRNA from 1 species
ACCUCCUCCUGGAGGUGCGCAGGAACUGCGGCUGGCGCAACCUCCUCCUGGAGGUGCGCAGGAACUGCGGCUGGCGCAACCUCCUCCUGGAGGUGCGCAGGAACUGCGACUGGCGCAACCUCCUCCUGGAGGUGCGCAGGAACUGCGACUGGCGCAACCUCCUCCUGGAGGUGCGCAGGAACUGCGACUGGCGCAACCUCCUCCUGGAGGUGCGCAGGAACUGCGACUGGCGCAACCUCCUCCUGGAGGUGCGCAGGAACUGCGACUAGCGCGACCUCCUCCUGGAGGUGCGCAGGAACUGCGACUAGCGCGACCUCCUCCUGGAGGUGCGCAGGAACUGCGGCUGGCGCGACCUCCUCCUGGAGGUGCGCAGGAGCUGUAGCUGGCGCGACCUCCUCCUGGAGGUGCGCAGGAACUGCGACUAGCGCGACCUCCUCCUGGAGGUGCGCAGGAACUGCGACUAGCGCGACCUCCUCCUGGGGGUGCGCAGGAACUGCGGCUAGCGCGACCUCCUCCUGGAGGUGCGCAGGAACUGCGACUGGCGCGACCUCCUCCUGGAGGUGCGCAGGAACUGCAGGUGCUGCCUCCUCCUGGAGGCCGGCGGGCGCUGCGGCUCCAAGGGUGACGGGGACUGGAACGACCGCUACAGGGCCGACGGGAACGGGGAAUGGAACGACUGCUACAGGGCCGACAGGAACGGGGUCAGAGACAGGGGUGACCUCUACUUGGCCUACGGGAACGCCCUCUACUUGGCCUACGGGAACGCCCUCUACUUGGCCUACGGGAACGCCCUCUACUUGGCCUACGGGAACGCCCUCUACUUGGCCUACGGGAACGCCCUCUACUUGGCCUACGGGAACGCCCUCUACUUGGCCUACGGGAACGCCCUCUACUUGGUCGACAGGGACAGGAGCUGGAACGACCUCAACUUGGUCGACAGGGACAGGAACUGGAACGACCUCAACUUGGUCGACAGGGACAGGAACUGGAACGACCUCAACUUGGUCGACAGGGACAGGAACUGGAACGACCUCAACAUGGUCGACAGGGACAGGAACUGGAACGACCUCAACAUGGCCGACAGGAACAGGAACUGGAACGACCUCAACUUGGUCGACAGGGACAGGAACUGGAACGACCUCAACAUGGCCGACAGGAACAGGAACUGGAACGACCUCAACUUGGUCGACAGGGACAGGAACUGGAACGACCUCAACAUGGCCGACAGGAACAGGAACUGGAACGACCUCAACUUGGUCGACAAGAACUGGAACGACCUCAACAUGGCCGACAGGAACUGGAACGACCUCAACAUGGCCGACAGGAACUGGAACGACCGCAACAUGGCCGGCAGGAACUGGAACGACCUCAACAUGGCCGACAGGAACUGGAACGGCCUCUGCUUGGCCGACAGGAACUAGAACGGCGUCCUCCUCUGAGGAGCCGACAGGAACUGGAACUAGAACGGCCUCAAUAUGGCCGACGGGAACAGGAACGGAGUCCUCCUCUGAGGAGCCGACAGGAACUAGAACGGCGUCCUCCUCUGAGGAGCCGACAGGAACUAGAACGGCCGCAACAUGGCCGACAGGGACUGGAACGGCCGCAACAUGGCCGACAGGGACUGGAACGGCGUCCCCUCCGGAGCUGGCAUGA